rnacentral:rRNA from 1 species
UUUUAUGAGAGUUUGAUCCUGGCUCAGGACGAACGCUGGCGGCGUGCCUAAUACAUGCAAGUCGAACGCUUCUUUUUCCACCGGAGCUUGCUCCACCGGAAAAAGAGGAGUGGCGAACGGGUGAGUAACACGUGGGUAACCUGCCCAUCAGAAGGGGAUAACACUUGGAAACAGGUGCUAAUACCGUAUAACAAUCGAAACCGCAUGGUUUUGAUUUGAAAGGCGCUUUCGGGUGUCGCUGAUGGAUGGACCCGCGGUGCAUUAGCUAGUUGGUGAGGUAACGGCUCACCAAGGCCACGAUGCAUAGCCGACCUGAGAGGGUGAUCGGCCACAUUGGGACUGAGACACGGCCCAAACUCCUACGGGAGGCAGCAGUAGGGAAUCUUCGGCAAUGGACGAAAGUCUGACCGAGCAACGCCGCGUGAGUGAAGAAGGUUUUCGGAUCGUAAAACUCUGUUGUUAGAGAAGAACAAGGAUGAGAGUAACUGUUCAUCCCUUGACGGUAUCUAACCAGAAAGCCACGGCUAACUACGUGCCAGCAGCCGCGGUAAUACGUAGGUGGCAAGCGUUGUCCGGAUUUAUUGGGCGUAAAGCGAGCGCAGGCGGUUUCUUAAGUCUGAUGUGAAAGCCCCCGGCUCAACCGGGGAGGGUCAUUGGAAACUGGGAGACUUGAGUGCAGAAGAGGAGAGUGGAAUUCCAUGUGUAGCGGUGAAAUGCGUAGAUAUAUGGAGGAACACCAGUGGCGAAGGCGGCUCUCUGGUCUGUAACUGACGCUGAGGCUCGAAAGCGUGGGGAGCAAACAGGAUUAGAUACCCUGGUAGUCCACGCCGUAAACGAUGAGUGCUAAGUGUUGGAGGGUUUCCGCCCUUCAGUGCUGCAGCUAACGCAUUAAGCACUCCGCCUGGGGAGUACGACCGCAAGGUUGAAACUCAAAGGAAUUGACGGGGGCCCGCACAAGCGGUGGAGCAUGUGGUUUAAUUCGAAGCAACGCGAAGAACCUUACCAGGUCUUGACAUCCUUUGACCACUCUAGAGAUAGAGCUUCCCCUUCGGGGGCAAAGUGACAGGUGGUGCAUGGUUGUCGUCAGCUCGUGUCGUGAGAUGUUGGGUUAAGUCCCGCAACGAGCGCAACCCUUAUUGUUAGUUGCCAUCAUUCAGUUGGGCACUCUAGCAAGACUGCCGGUGACAAACCGGAGGAAGGUGGGGAUGACGUCAAAUCAUCAUGCCCCUUAUGACCUGGGCUACACACGUGCUACAAUGGGAAGUACAACGAGUCGCGAAGUCGCGAGGCUAAGCUAAUCUCUUAAAGCUUCUCUCAGUUCGGAUUGCAGGCUGCAACUCGCCUGCAUGAAGCCGGAAUCGCUAGUAAUCGCGGAUCAGCACGCCGCGGUGAAUACGUUCCCGGGCCUUGUACACACCGCCCGUCACACCACGAGAGUUUGUAACACCCGAAGUCGGUGAGGUAACCUUUU